rfam:Glossina austeni unplaced genomic scaffold Scaffold8, whole genome shotgun sequence.
UUCAUGAUGAAAUUUAAUUUUGGUCCGUGUUUAUGACUUUAUGUGAUUUCAAUUCUUCCAAUUACUGAUAAUG